rnacentral:rRNA from 1 species
UACGAAGGGGGCUAGCGGUGUUCGGAAUUACUGGGCGUAAAGCGCACGUAGGCGGACUCUUAAGUCAGGGGUGAAAUCCCGGGGCUCAACCUCGGAACUGCCUUUGAUGCUGUGAGUCUCGAGACCGGAAGAGGUGAGUGGAAUUCCUAGUGUAGAGGUGAAAUUCGUAGAUAUUAGGAAGAACACCAGUGGCGAAGGCGGCUCACUGGUCCGGUUCUGACGCUGAGGUGCGAAUGCGUGGGGAGCAAACAGG